rnacentral:rRNA from 1 species
AUAAAAAAUUAACCGUACCAAACCGGUGCCGGUGGGUGGGUUUAGAUUACUAAGGCGAUCGAGGCAACGGCGCUUAAGGAACUCGGCAAAUUGACUCUGUAACUUUGGGAGGAGGAGUGCCUGCGGAAACGCAGGGCGUAAUAUACAAGGGGGGAGCGACUGUUUAUUAAAAACACAGGACUCUGCUAAAUGGUAACAUGAAGUAUAGGGUCUGACGCCUGCCCGGUGCCAUUGAGCAAAAGCAAAGCGUCAAUGCGCUUAGUAUAAGCUUCGGUAAACGGCGGCUGUAACUCUGACGGUCCUAAGGUAGCGAAAUUCCUUGGCGGGUAAGUUCCGUCCUGCAUGAAUGGCGUAACGACUCCCCCGCUGUCUCAAGCGCCGGCUCGGUGAAAUUGAAUUCUUCGUGAAGAUGCGAAGAUGUCGUGGCUAGACGGAAAGACCCUGUGCACCUUUACUAUAACCUUUUGUUGCCCUAGACUUGUGUGUGCUCAGAAUAAGCGGGAGUUUGUAAAUUAAUGCAGGCGUCAGUGAGAUACCGCUCAGUUACAUGUCUAGGGUUUUCUAGCAAGGUUGGUAGUUUGGCUGGGGUGGCCGCCUCCUAAAGAGUAACGGGGGUGCGCAAUGGUGGGCUCAACCCGAUUCUCGGGGUAAGAGCGUAACGGUAAAAGCCCGCCUGACUGAAAGAUUGACAAAUCGAUCAGGGACAAUAGUCGGUCGUAGUGACCCGACGGUGUUGUGCGGAAAAGCCGUCGAUCAACGGAUAAAAGGUACGCCAGGGAUAACAGGCUAAUAACCCCUAAGAGACCACAUCGCCGGGGUUGUUUGGCACCUCGAUGUCGGCUCAUCACAUCCUGGAGCUGUAGGCGGUUCCAAGGGUUCGGCUGUUCGCCGAUUAAAGUGGUACGUGAGCUGGGUUUAGAACGUUGUGAAACAGUUCGGUCCCUAUCUACCACGACAAGAGCUGAGGGUGGCCAUCCUAGUACGGGAGGAUCGGAUGGCACCGGCCAAUGGUGACCAGUUGUGUUCGUUGCUUUGGGCGCAUUGCUGGGUAGCUACGCCGGGUGGUAUAAUUGCUGAAAGCAUAUAAAGCAAGAAGACCGCCCCAAAAAGCUUUGCAA